AUUGAACGCUGGCGGCAGGCCUAACACAUGCAAGUCGAGCGGAUGACGGGAGCUUGCUCCUUGAUUCAGCGGCGGACGGGUGAGUAAUGCCUAGGAAUCUGCCUGGUAGUGGGGGACAACGUUUCGAAAGGAACGCUAAUACCGCAUACGUCCUACGGGAGUAAGCAGGGGACCUUCGGGCCUUGCGCUAUCAGAUGAGCCUAGGUCGGAUUAGCUAGUUGGUGGGGUAAUGGCUCACCAAGGCGACGAUCCGUAACUGGUCUGAGAGGAUGAUCAGUCACACUGGAACUGAGACACGGUCCAGACUCCUACGGGAGGCAGCAGUGGGGAAUAUUGGACAAUGGGCGAAAGCCUGAUCCAGCCAUGCCGCGUGUGUGAAGAAGGUCUUCGGAUUGUAAAGCACUUUAAGUUGGGAGGAAGGGCAGUAAGUUAAUACCUUGCUGUUUUGACGUUACCGACAGAAUAAGCACCGGCUAACUCUGUGCCAGCAGCCGCCGCAG
rnacentral:rRNA from 1 species